CCUGCUCACUCCAUUCAAGAAUCCCAAGUAUUCAAGAUGGACGGCAGGGAGUGUGGAAGGAGAAAAGAGGGAAGAGGGGGAAGAGAAAGAGCAAGAGAAGAGCAAACGGAUAGGCGCCCGCCUGCCGCCUGCCCAUUUCCAACGGGAUCCAAAAUACAAUCUCAGCUAGAGCUUGGGGAGAGGGAGUGAGAAAGGGGGAGUUGAGGACAGAGAUAGGGAGAGGAGGGAAAGGGAGAGAGAGGCAGCCAGGGUAGGAGAUGGCAGGAAAAUGAACAGAAAGAAGAGAAAAUAUAUAGAUCCUGAACUCCUAGAAGGGUGCCUAGUACGGGGCAUCGAACCCGGGGGCCAGCGAUGGAUGCUCUCGCCCUUUUCUGCUACUACAGUGGAAUUGAGAGACUUACCUGCUACCUGCCUGCCAUCUUCCCGAGGAGACGGGGUCGCUUUGGGGAAGGGGUGGGGGAUUCCGGGAAAACAACCCCCUGGACGGUGUUGGUGAAUUAGAGAGACGGGAAAAGACAGUCCAGUCGAGAAGCCAGAUCUCCUCACUCACUGGUGCUCCCCCACCCCGACCCCCCCUUUAUUAAAAAAGAUCCCAAACUUUA